UUAUGUUGUCGGACUGAACAUCAAAUUAAAGUCAGUGAAUCCACUGUCAGAGUCAGACAUUGAGAAUGCUUUGGCGGAGCUCUUCAGACGAUACGGUUUGCCACCAGAACUGUUGUCCCUGAAGAUUCGAUCCAUUGAGUCGUGAGACCAAUGAAGACAAGACGAGAUAAAAUGAAGGAAAACUUUGCACAUUCUGAAAUUGCUUUCCUUGAAGAGAACAAAAACACAAAUGAUGUAAAGCUUUGGAAAAUCAUUAUGAAACAUCACCGUGUGCGUUUUAUGUAGCAGUAUCAGGGAUCAUACUUUGUCUUUUUUGUAACUCUACCUAGAUUGGAAAUUGUGAAGUAUUUUUUCAGCAUUAAAAUUGUACUGUAAUAUUAUUGUAUUGUGUUGGUUAAAUUGUUUUGUAUAUUUUUGCCAAUUAGAAAUAAAGUGACAAAUGUGACUCGUU